rnacentral:piRNA from 1 species
UGGGUACUACUGGGCACAGUACCAGGCU